rnacentral:rRNA from 1 species
UACGGAGGGUGCGAGCGUUGUCCGGAAUCACUGGGCGUAAAGGGCGCGUAGGCGGCGCGGUAAGCGUGCGGUGAAAGCCCGGGGCUCAACCCCGGGUCGGCCGUGCGGACUGCCGGGCUAGAGUACGGCAGAGGGGGGUAGAAUUCCUGGUGUAGCAGUGAAAUGCGUAGAUAUCAGGAGGAAUACCGAUGGCGAAGGCAGCCCCCUGGGUCGAUACUGACGCUCAUGCACGAAAGCGUGGGGAGCAAACAGG